GACGAACGCUGGCGGCGUGCCUAAUACAUGCAAGUCGAACGCUGAAGCGAGGAGCUUGCUCUUCUUGUGUGAGUUGCGAACGGGUGAGUAACGCGUAGGUAACCUGCCUUUUAGCGGGGGAUAACUAUUGGAAACGAUAGCUAAUACCGCAUAACAAUGUAUAACACAUGGUUUUUAUUUGAAGGACGGAAUUGCUCCACUACAAGAUGGAACUGCGUUGUAUUAACUAGUUUGGUAGGUAAAGGGUCAACUAAGCGACGAUACAUAACCGAACUUGGGAGGGGGAUGGCCAACACUGGAACGGAGAACCGCCCAGAAUUCUACGGGAGGCAGCAGUAGGGAAACUUCCGCAAAUGGGGGAAACCUGAACGAACAACGGCGCGGGGAUGAAGGAGGGUUUCGGAUUGUAAAGCUCUGUUUAUAGGGGAGAAAGAGAUGGGGAGUGAAAAGUGCACACUGUGACGGUACCUAAUCAGAAAGGCACGGCUAACUACGUG
rnacentral:rRNA from 1 species